rnacentral:rRNA from 1 species
UACGUAGGGGGCAAGCGUUGUCCGGAUUUACUGGGCGUAAAGAGCGCGUAGGCGGAAGCUUAAGUGUGGCCUGAAAGCCCCCGGCUCAACCGGGGAAGGUGGCUGCAAACUGGGCUUCUUGAGGGGGAUAGAGGAAAGUGGAAUUCCGGGUGUAGCGGUGAAAUGCGUAGAGAUCCGGAGGAACACCAGAGGCGAAGGCGGCCUACUGGGUCAGUACUGACGCUGAGCCGCGAAAGCCAGGGGAGCGAACAGG